CAAAGGCAAAACACGCGCUCUCUUCCCUGCUUCUGAUUUAGAAAGCGGCAAUCGAAGAAAGUGCCAUCUCUCUCUCCACAGGUUCUGGGCCACACUUGUGGGAAAUCCGCGCGGAUGGCGAAGCAGGCCUGGAGGGUGGGCUUGGCCGGGAGGGAGUCCGUGCAGGUGCCGCCACCCUUGACACAGCCUCGUCGGCAAAAGCACCGGGGCCACGUCCUCUCCAGAAAAAAAAACACAACCCCCCCCCCCCCCAAACGCUCGUGUGGCGGGCAAGGAAGGCAUGGCUGCGAGAGGGAAGCCGAGGGAAGGAUGCCAGGAGGCAGAUGAAUCUUGAAAGAUUUGAAAUGAAUGAGCGAAUAUUAUCCCUGUUUUGACAAUGAGAAAUGAAAGUAUCCACAGAGAAGAAGUAAAGUCCUCAACUCUUUCUGUAACAGCCAACUGGCAUUUGCUUUCCAAAUAGUACAGAUGACACCUGCACCUACAGGCAUACCCACAUGGACUUCAUGUGGGUAUACAAUACCAUAGAUAACAGUGAACACUAUUGAAAUCAUGGACAUCUGGCCCUGGAAUAUCAUACAGUCGUGCUAGAGGACCUCAAAAAUGGCUAGAGAUAUAUAUUUUGUUGGAUGUGGAUAAAUGAAUCUGCAGACAUUGGUCCAAUAAAUAUAAGGGUUGUAAUGUA